rnacentral:rRNA from 1 species
AAUCAACGCUGGCGGCGUGCCUCAGACAUGCAAGUCGAACGAUUAAGACUUCCUUCGGGAAGUGCAUAAAGUGGCGCACGGGUGAGUAACACGUAAGUAAUCUACCCUCGAGUGGGGAAUAACGUUCGGAAACGGACGCUAAUACCGCAUAACGCAGCGGCACCGCAAGGUGACAGUUGUUAAAGGAGCAAUCCGCUUGAGGAGGAGCUUGCGGCAGAUUAGCUAGUUGGUAAGGUAAUGGCUUACCAAGGCUACGAUCUGUAUCCGGUCUAAGAGGACGGUCGGACACACUGACACUGAAUAACGGGUCAGACUCCUACGGGAGGCAGCAGUCGGGAAUUUUGGGCAAUGGGCGAAAGCCUGACCCAGCAACGCCGCGUGAAGGAUGAAGUAUUUCGGUAUGUAAACUUCGAAAGAAUAGGAAGAAUAAAUAGACGGUACUAUUUAUAAGCUCCGGCUAACUACGUG